AGAAAGCAAAAGACUGAAGGUUCUGAUUAUGCCUUUUUUCUCUUAUGUUACAGAAUGGAAAAGACUCCUGCAACUUGAUGACCACUUUGUGCAGAGAGACUCGUUUCCAAUAGAGCCAACCUCCAAGAAGUCACAGGAUUUGUUCCCAGCACUGGCCAACCAAUCUGAUUUGCUGCCACUGAAACUCAUCACAGCUGUUAGCACACAUCCAGUGAAGUGUUUGUGUGCAAAGCAGAAGGACUGCAAGAGUGUCUCAAGAUAACAGAUGUUAAGAAAGGUGAGGACUGGAUCUUCGAUGGCCACUCAAUACGGAUAACCAGGCAAGCUAGGCUGACUGCGUGAGCCUGC
rnacentral:lncRNA from 1 species